rnacentral:rRNA from 1 species
UACAGAGGGGGCAAGCGUUAUUCGGAAUUAUUGGGCGUAAAGGGCGCGUAGGCGGCUUGGCAAGUGGAUGGUGAAAUCCCUCGGCUUAACCGAGGAACUGCCGUCCAAACUGCUUCGCUUGAGACCGGGAGAGGUGAGUGGAAUUCCCAGUGUAGCGGUGAAAUGCGUAGAUAUUGGGAGGAACACCAGUGGCGAAGGCGGCUCACUGGACCGGUACUGACGCUGAGACGCGAAAGCGUGGGGGGCGAACAGG